AUAGGCGUCCAUUUCCUCCUUUGAAUACGCUCUACAGGAGUGUCUUGAGUUGGGAUUGAAGCUUCCGUGGGUUGAGUGAAAAACAGAGGGACUUGUGUGGAACAGAGCUCGACACUGCCUUGCACAUAACCAAAGACAGUGUGUUGAUGACUUUCAAGAAGGUCAACAAAGUUUGACGUCGGAUUAUAUGGAUUGGAUUCCAUAUCCGAAUGUGUCAGGAGAGGAAGAAAAGAAGAGAGAAAGAAAAGAACUCGGUUUUUGACAGAAGGAAGAGAAGAAGAAUGUGUUUUUGAUAGAGUUAAUACAAGAAGAAUGUGUUUUAUAGAAGAGAAGAAUGAAAGGAGCAUUGAUCAAGACAUUCAUAACACUCAACCAAUUGGAGUUGACAUCUAGCUAACACAUCGACUUCUAUCAAACAUUUUUCAACUAUUUAUUACCUAUCUUAACUUCAAUCUAACACUAACCAAUUCAUUAAUUACCGAGGCUUCAAUUCACACCAGAACCACAUUCAAUUCAUUUCACAACCCAAACUAUUUCAGACCAGAACCACAUUCAAAUCAAUUCACAACCCAAACGACAUCACACAAGAAUCACAAUCUAUUCACAUAAGAAUCAAUACACACAAGUAACCAAAACAUUAACUACCGAGAUUCAAUUCACACAAGAACUUCCAUCUAUUCAUUCCAGGACACAAUCUAAUUCAAUACACACAAGAAUCACAAUCUAUGUAAUUUUAGAACAUAAUCACAAUCUAUUAAUUUCAGAACACAAUCCAAUCACAAUCACAUUUCAACACUUUCAAUCUAUUUAACAGAUCAAAGAUAAACGGUUUACCUGUUUUGCAAUUGGAACUUGUCGCUAGGUGUAGUCCU
rnacentral:lncRNA from 1 species